rnacentral:tRNA from 1 species
AGGCCAGUAGCUCAAUUUGGCAGAGUGCCUGUCUCCAAAACAGGAGGUUGCGGGUUCGAUUCCUGCCUGGCCUGCCA